rnacentral:rRNA from 1 species
UUGACCUCGGAUUAGGUAGGAAUACCCGCUGAACUUAAGCAUAUCAAUA